GCCUGGGUGGCUCAGUCGGUUAAGCAUCUGACUUUAGCUCAGGUCAUGAUCUCACAGUCUGUGGGUUUGAGCCCCGUGUCGGGCU
rnacentral:tRNA from 1 species